rnacentral:lncRNA from 1 species
CCUUGGAUACUAAACGAUCCGUGAGAGCCCAGUAGACGAUGUAAAACAGGCCAUGAGCGGUGAAAAGGAACAUGGUCAUGUGUCCAAGCCAGAUAUGAUACUUGAUGCUGGCCUCUGAGGUCAGUCCCAGAAGGGGCAACACUGAUGAAGUUCGCGUAACCGGGAAGAAUAGAAAUAACAGACAUAUGUUGCCAAUAAUCCCCAGAGUAAAGCCUAUUAUGCUCAGUGUAGACUUCCAUCUGUCAUAACAUUACAUGCAAGUAACACAUCUUGUAACAGGAGAUAUUUACUAGUAAAAACCAACAAUCUCGAAUAAAUACCUCUUCUCAUUCUCUGAUUCUAUGAAAAAGGCCAUGUGCUGGAAGAAGUAAUGCAUGUAAGCGGAGAAGGUCCAGACUAGGAGGGCAAUGAACAUCACCAAAAUAGAGAUCUCUGUCCACGAAACGAUCCCGAGCCAUUUCAUAAUCACCGGCCUCUUCCAUGAACUCAAUAUCGACUUGCUGCAAAAACCACUUGGUAAAAAGUAAAAACACUUCUGCAAUGUCAUAUGUGUGUGCAUAGAGCCAGAGGAUCAGAAAAAAUACCUUUUUAUCUCGCGACUUUCAGCACCAUCUUUGUAUUUGAUUCCCAAAUGAAGAUACAGAGAGCCUAAAACAGAGAUAACCAACAUGGGAAAUGUGUCCAUAAGAAUUGUUGUACCUGCAAAAUCAUGGGGAAGAGUUAGAUACUCGAAUUACAGGGAGUUGAUGAAAUUAAGUUGAAAACUACUAAACCUUGUGCUCCAAAGAAACUGGAAUUUGUAUGAGCUCGAAUUUUGGGCUCAAAAUGUGAUAUAUAAGUGGAGCUUGGCUUCAUGAUUAGCAUGAAGAUAUACCCAACAAAGAUGAUUAUUACUAGUCCUAAUAUAGAUGUUCGAAGCACUCUUAUUUUGCCAUUUGAACUAGAAACAGAAGCUACCGGUUUCUCCUCCAUGAGACCUCUUUCUCUGCCUACUAGCUCUAGUACUCUGUAUGAGUGUCUGAAAUUUUAUGAAAUACUGUAUUUAUUUAACGCAGAUGUGAAAUAGAUUCAUAAAUUUUCGAAAAUUAACUAUUUUAUGUAUAAAAACAAGUAUUUAUUUUUAGAAAAAACAAGUAUAUUAUUGUAAGAGGUAUGCGAAUACAAAAUUUGGACAAUAGACUAAUUGAGUCUGUUGAGAGACACGGUUUUUGCUAUGUAAUAAUUGUCAUCUUGUUAGUGACGAUGAAUAUCUUAGAUAAAAUUUUAUUAAUGAAAAAAAGGGAAGAUAUUUAUUUUAUAUUCUUUUCAUAUUUUUAUUAUACGCGGUUUUCAUUUUGACACGUAGAUGGCUUGAUCAUAUAGAAGCUAUUUUGAUUAAUUUCCUUUUGAUAAAUUAAAUUUGAAUUAUAAUUUCAUUUAAAAAUUAAUAUUUUUUUCAACGAAAAAGCGAUGAAUUUAAUAAAUAAUGUGACAUAAGUCAAAACAUCAUGCAUUCAAAAAAAUGAAUUAUCUAUCCAAGUCAUUUUAUUUUUUUGUCCAAGUCGCUCUUGUUUCAAAAAGAGUAUUAGAGCUUUGAAGUCCUUCCGAUUGAUUAAUCAAAAAGUAGAAUAACAAUAUGAUUCAGUUGGGCAUUGAGAUGAGAGGGGGAGACAUUAUUACUAUACAGGAAAACGCUAACUUUAACUAUAACAGUUAACGAUGAUGGUGGAUCACCAACUAAAACUUAUGGAUUCAAAAUGUAAAUUUUUUGCCAAGCUUGAUGAACAUAUGUUUGCCACUUGGUGGCGCAUACUCUUCGGACCACAUACCAGAACACCAACGCUUGCUUCUUCAUGUUCCAUUAAAAUUCCUGCAACAGACUCAAAAUUUUAUCAUCAAACCUAACCAAAUCUGAAAUACCAUGUACUCUGUCCGUCCUUUUCAAUUGUUUACACUGGGGAAUGGGGCUAAGGAAGCACUCUAAUUCUCUCAUAAAUUAUAACUUGAUAAAUUAUUUUUAACUUUUUUUUUUUUUUGAAUAAAAGUUUAGUGUUUAAAUUUCCACAAAAAAAAUUGAAAAUAAGUUAUGAAACUAUAUAUUUUACAGCGUUAAAAUGCGUGUCAAAAAAACUGUAAAGAAAUUAGAGGGACGAGAGUAUAUGUAAGAUAGCCAAAUGCGCUCUGAUAAGCUCAGGGAAUGUGAAAAUAACUUACCCCUAAGAUCAGGCCUUCGACCAUAAUGCACAUUCUUAGUUUCCAACAGGGACUGGUAAGGAAGACUUUCGAGUUCUCUAUCAAUAGGAGUGUCAACCCAUGAAUUAUGCUUUAAUGGUGACAAUUCUAUAACCUUCUUAACCUGGUUGGUUUUUAUGGAACUUUGUUUCUUGUUCCAGAGAAAAGCUGCAGAGGCUGUCACGAGUAUAGAUAUGCACAUGAGUAGCAUAUUCAACACAGACCUUAAUGAGUUUGAGAACACCUUAUUAGUAUUGUGAUCUAUAGGAUAUAUGUAGAAGCGCGUAAGAAAUCCCAUGGUAAGAAGGAAGAUUAUAAACGAUGAUGAUGUUAUGACUCCGAGCCAUAACCAACUGUAUUGGCCUAAAGUUGUGGAUAUUGGUGCAUCAAGGGUGUUUGACUUGAACCAUAUUGUUUGCAGGGGUUUUGGGCUUUCUGUAGGUGGUUCCAUCUCUCGGGUCACGUAUGCCUCUACCUGUAGUUCCAGAUUAGAAUAUCUGGAUGAGGCAUUUGAAAUUGGAAGAAUGAGGUUUAGCAUAGUGAGCUCUGAGGAAUUCUUGAAUGCACUAAUGAGGAGAAUGCGAGGAGGUCUGCAUUUUUUAGUUGAGUUCAUGAAGAGUAGUUCAUGGAUUAUAGAAAUGAAUGGCGCUAUGCCACUGCCUCCAGUAACCAUAAUUAGUUUAUCAUGCCUGCAAUUAUCAUGACUAAUCAAUCACAAAGUAUAAUUUGAUUUCAUAACAUUAUAUAUACUUUGGUACCUCAGAAAGUGAGUUGAAGCAGGUCCAUAAGGGCCUUCAACAGAGAUUUGAAGAUGCUCAAUGGGAAAUGGUGAAGCAAGCUUCUGGUAAAGCUUCCGAGUCCAACUUCCUUCACUUUUAAUAAUAACACUAAGAAUCUCAGGUUCCAAAUGACUGCUGGAACUAAUUGUAUAAGGAUGCCACUGCAGCUUGGAAAUGCUGGGAACAUUAAUAAAUAUGAUGCUUGUUGGAGUGUAACUCAAUCCUGGAAGACAAAAACAUACAUCACGUAAAAACAUUUCAAGUAAAAUUCUAAAAUUUGGGCAAAUGGUUGAGGAGUCACCUUGAUCUUUGGAGAAGUUGAGCUCAACAGUCUCACAAGGCAGGACGCGAGCGGAGACUAACUGGGCACAUUGUCUGGAUUGUAGGAACCUCAAGAAACGAUCAACCAUGAAGAGAUAGAAACCGGGAAGCAUAUAGCAAAAAUAGUUGAAGCCAAGAUGAAAAAUGAAGAAGACAAUGAAUAAAAUGUAGAGGUAGUGUGUGUAAAAGAAGAGCUCAAACAUUUUUCGCCUAAUGCGAGGAAAUGUUGUCACCCAUAGCGCUAAUCCAAACAACAAAGAAAUCUCCCCAGCCACAUUUGAUACAUGUGUUUUUUUCCAUUCCAGAAUCUGCAUUCAAGCCUAAUCAAUGAGUAAAAAACCUAUGCAUGGUUUAAGUAGUGUCAUUAUCUUACUCAAAGAAACAACCAUUCUAGCUAUUUCAUAUUACCAAGUUAAAAUGGCUUUGAAUAAAGGUAUCUAAUUAAAGAUAAAAAAAAUUGUAAUAUUAAAUUUUUAGGGAUCUUUCAGAUUGAAAGCCUUUUGAGGGUGGUGGAGUAUUAUUCUACGCAACUUUGCAAUACAAGUCAAGAGAUAACCUCUGUAGUGAGAAAUGAGAAUACAAGAGUUAGAGUGUUGGGCCAAUUUUAACUGAGAAAUGCACUUGUCAGAUAUGACGCCAUGAUAUAACAUUUGCCUUAUCUUUUCAUUUCGUCCAAGCAUAAAUAAGUGGAAAGUGCAGAGUAAUGCUGAGGAGAAAAAAACAACAAUAUGUAUUCAAAGUUGUGAUUAACAUUUUCAAACACAUCACAAUCUACCUUUGUAAAUUUGGCAGUGCUCCAAACUUGACAGACCAUAUCAAUCAAACUUACAGUCUUAACUAACAUUCGUUUAACCGCAAAAUGUUGCCACUCAUCUCAUAGUACUAGAGUAAUCAAGUGUUUUACGAUAACUUCUUAUUCCAUUCUUUGAUUUGAGCUUCACAAAGUGAUAUGGGACGAGACAUUUAAUUUUGGCCGAUUGAAUAUUUACCUUUGAUGAUAAACGAUUUGUGACAGCCCAGUAGACGAUAUAACACAGGCCGUGAGCUGUAAAAAGGAACAUGGUUAUAUGUCCAAGCCAAAUAUGAUACUUGAUGCUGGCCUCUGAGGUCAAACCAAGGAGAGGCAACACCGAUGAAGUUCGUGUCACCGGAAAGAAGAGAAAGGUAAGACAUAUGUUGCCAACAAUUCCUAGAGUUAGACCUAUAAUGCUCAGUUUAGCUUCCCAC